UUAGUCUUGUUUGGACAAGCGAUGGGGAAAAUUCUGAGGAUCGAGACAGGCCUCUCAGAAGACAGCUAUAGGCCCGUCAGGCCCCGACGCCACGCCGCCGUAAAUAAACGGCCCUGGCCCAGGCCUUGUCGUUCUCUUUGUGCAGUGAACUCGUGGAUGGCGAAGAUGGUGGCUUUGGGAUCCGCCUGGCGCCCGCUGUGCAACCUUCCGAGAGGAAGGCGACGGCCUGCGCCAUCUUUGCACAGCUGCCGGCGUACAGGUACCUGAGUACCUCAGGGCCGUGUUGGACACUGAAGGGACCGAAGUCUCGGGCUGAGCAGGAUGAGCUAUCAUUACAGACUAGAAUUUCUGAUGUCUCUGUGACUCCACUGCUUGGAACUGACGCAGCCCAGGGCAGGGGGGACUCGUGUGGUAGUCGCCCUGGCUUCUGCUAACUCACUGGUUUCUUCCCAGGACCCUGAUUUCUCGAAGGAGGGUCCGCAGCGCCUCGAGGGGAAUUAAGACGUUCACCGACCCAUGUGUUAUUUUUGAAUAAAGCUUGAGAGCUUUGGAAGCCCAGCCGGGGCAGUGCCCCUUCACAGAGAUUCAGGGAUAGCCUGGUGGCUGAAGGCCUAAAGUUUGGAAUUCUCUUGGAGAAGUGCUGUUGGGAUGGCUGGGAUGCCCAGGUAAUGUGGUUCCUGCCACUUCAUCAACAAGCUGUGACGAGAAGUGGAGAGUGACAAGAAGUGGAGAGUAGCGUGCCUUCUGCCUGGGUACUGUGAAUUUUGCUGACACAAAGGAUGUUCUCUACCUGGUGUUGGACAGAUCCUCGGAACUUCACAUCUUUCCUGCAUUAACCGGCAUGAGCAGCUGUCAACCUCCUGGGGUGGAGGGAGGGGACUGCCUAGAAAUUUGGGGACCAAACUCAAUUAGGUGGCCUUUACUUGGUCCUACCCAAAGGAUUCCAAUAAAAUAUAUAUAUAUAUUUUUUAAAAUUUA